UUUGGAAGUAAAAGUCGUAACAAGGUUUCAGUAGGUGAACCUGCGGAAGGAUCAUUGUCGAAACCUGCAUAGCAGAACAACUUGUGAACAUGUAAAAACAAUUGGGUGUCCUUGUAUCGGGCUCUUGUCUGAUUCUUUGGAUGCCACGUUGAUGUGGGUCUUUAGCAAGGGUCCUAAGGAUGUCACAUUGGCACAACAACCACCCCCGGCACAGCAUGUGCCAAGGAAAAAUAAACCUAUGAAGCAUUUGUGUCAUUUGCUCUUCGUUGGGGGUGAAUGCAUGGAAUCUUCCUUCCUUAAAAUCAUAAACGACUCUGGGCUACGGAUAUCUCGGCUCUCGCAUAGAUGAAGAUUGUAGCAAAUUGCCAUUCCUCGUGUGAAUUGCAGAAUCCCGUGAACCAUCGAGUUUUUGAAGACAAGAUGCGUCCGAAGCCUUUAGUCCAAGGGCAUUUUUGCGAAGCAGUCUCCCAUGCAGUCGCCCCCCGUAACGCCUUUAGGCGGGGAUGUUUUAAUGGGGGGCGGAGAUUGGUCUCCCGUUUUAUGGUGCGGUUGGUUAAAAUAGGAGUCCCCAUCGUCGGACGCAUGAUUAGUGGUGGUUGUCAAGACCUUCUUAUCGAGUUCACGUUAGAAAGAGUAACGAGGACACCCCAAUGACCCCCAUGUGUCGUCAGGUGAUCGAUGCAUGCAGGCGACCCCAGACAGUCUGACUGAGCGCUAACC
rnacentral:rRNA from 1 species